CGUGAGCCGGACUCCUUUCCCGAAUAGGUAGACUUCGUUCGAGCUCCUACGGGAGCCAGACUUCCAUCCUGAACUCCUGUUGUAGGUAGACCUCAUCCCGAAUUCCUACAAGGGCCGGACUCCGAGCUUCUACUGCAAGUGACCCACUCCGAGCUUCUACUACAAAUGAUCUACUUCAAAUUUCUAUCACGAGCGAUCCAUACCAGAUUCAUUGUGGAUGAAUUCCUUUCAGAUUUCUAUUACAGAUAGGCCUCAGCCGAGAUUCCUCGAUAAAUGAUCCCCAUCCGGGCUUCUACAG
rnacentral:lncRNA from 1 species